GCGUACUGUCAUUUCCUUCCCUUAGUUGAUUGAAACAUAGUAUUUCUUUCUUCUCCCAGGAUGUGAACAAUGUUCUCAGGCUAAACUUAAUGCCCUCAAUAAAAUAUAACUUCAUAUUUCAGAAUGAAAUUAAAAAUUCAUGUCCAUUCCUUCAUAAGAACUGUCAAAUGUGUCGAGCUGCUCUAAUAUUAAAAUGGCUCUUGUUUCUUUCUCAUUCCCGCAGCUGUAGGGGAACUUCUCAAACGUGGCUCCCCAAAAUGCUCAUCAGUCAAGCUCAAGCUGAUAUAUUAAUGCAGACUCCUGUGGAUUUGAUUCAGCAUAACAAGUAGUUAUAGGCCUAUAUCAUAGCACUCACACAAUUUGGCAAUCAAUUCUGAGCUUUAUAUAACACAAAGAAAUAUAUUACAGGCCUACAGUCAGAUGAUACCUUGUCUCAUUCCUACUGUUUGUCUUUCUCUUACCAUACAUCUCAUUCUCAUCAAUAUCCAUGAGAGUGAAAAUUAUAGCCUUGCACUCGACGACUGUCCUGAGAGAAAUGAAUUGAUAAACAGAUAGAGCUGCUUCAUCUCUUGUUUAAAGGGUAAGUGCCACUUAGACAGGCAAUGCAAAAGCAUUAAUGCAAAAUUCUCCCUCCCACCUUCCCAUUCUCCGCAGUCGUCGUUGUCCUCUUAGAACUCAACAAGUUUCAGAAAACAAAAGAUGCCACAUAAAACUGAAGAGGAGGGAGGAAAAUAAAACAAACUCAGACCACGUGCAAGUGAAAAAAAUGACGAGAGAGUCAACGACAGACGUAUGAAGAUGGCUGAGAUGAAUAGAGCACUCUACAUCACAGGUGGUGCCAAGUCCAUUAAAGCCUCCGACAGCAAACAACUGACCAUCAACUACCUGGAUUUUGAGGAAGCAUACACUAGAUCUCCAUAAGCGAUCACACCAACACCACUGCGACGGCUUUUCAUGGGAGCGAUGAGAGUCCACUGGUCUGUUUCAGGGUUAUAGCUCUCAGCGGAAAAGAGACACACAAUCCCGGAAUUAAGAGUCUCCAGCAGAAGAGUAUGUAGUCAUGGUUUUGUUCCAGUUCCCUGUGCCGUUUGUUUCGUUCCUGAUAUUGUUUAAAUUGUCUCUGCUUCACUUCACUGGAUUUCUCAUUGGACUGUCAGCAGAUGACGCUCAGCCCGUUGUAGUCUCCUCGCUUCCAAGGCCUGCCAUUCACCAUCUUCUAGCGAGG